rnacentral:tRNA from 1 species
AGGGAUAUUGCUCAGUGAUAGAGUGCUUGCCUAGCAUGCACGAGGCCCUGGGUUCCAUCCCCAGUGCCAUGA